rnacentral:tRNA from 1 species
GCCCGGAUGGUGAAAUUGGUAGACACAAGGGACUUAAAAUCCCUCGGGCCUAAUCGCCCAUGCCGGUUCGAUUCCGGCUCCGGGCACCA